GUCUACGGACAUGCCACCUCGAACGUGCCGGAUCUCGUCUGAUCUCGGAAGCUAAGCAGAGUCGGGCCUAGUUAGUACCUGGAUGGGUGAGCACCUAGGUGCUAUAGUCU
rnacentral:rRNA from 1 species